UUGGAGUCAUAAAGCCAGUUCCUACCUCUCCUCAUGCCAUGGAAAACAGAAACUCUGAGCUGCUCAGGUUAUGCUGGAGUCUCUCAAGAGUGGGACAGCACAGAGGUGAAGUCCUCUGCCUGAUCCCCAAGCAGACCUGCAUGGGAGUUCUGCAAGUGUCUCUUGGCUACGCUUGCUUUGAAAAACACUCGGCACACAUCCUAUGCCUCCGAUGCGAAGCACGCUCCACGCAGCUGCGGCUUAGGCAAUUCAGCCCCGAGUCGAUGUGUCACAGCCAAUCUGCAGCUACAACUGAAAAGCAGACACCCGAAGCAGAGAGGCCCAGCUUCCCAGCCCACAAACAACUUCUAUCAGCUCCCAGAUGCUGACACGAGGCACCAAGGGGCACCCAAGCCAAAAGCCUGGAUUCCAAACAUCCCUGAACUCUUGAGAAGUUCAAAUCAGAGCACACAUCUUCAGCGAGAAGGGGAAAGCUGUAACGUGAUCCCAGUCCUGUGCAAUAGAGGUAACACUCAAGUGCAGUCUGAAGGUGACUUCCAGAAUAUGCGGUGCGGAGCCGAGUGGAGGAAGAGAAGAAAAAGCACGAAGGCAUUUUUAAUAUGUGGAAAAAACAAAUGCUAGCAGGGAUCUGAGUAUCUGCUGCCUGUGGGAGGGUGGGGAAGGUUGCUGACAGAGUAAAGGAGGGUAAGAGAGGUAAAUGGACUCUGAAUUCAAGAAGGAGUGAUACCAAAGAGCCCUGUAGGCUGUCAGAGAGGUGUCAAAAGUUGGGAAGGAGCAGAAAGACAAAAUCAUGAAGGGAGCAAUCCACCAGAGCAUAUCUUGCAUAUCUAUGAUAUCUUGCAACUGACAGCUGUUCAGGCUCACACCUGUCCCUGCCCUGCUCUCUGCCUGCCUUUGACAUGGACCCUAAUCCCCCUUGUGUCUCAGCUCCAGUUCUGGCAGCAGGGGAAGGGCACUCUCAGCCAGAGGGAUAUCACGGGGCACUGGCUGUGUCCUGUGGGGGACAUGAGCAGCAUCACCCCCACUGUGUGCUGCUGGCAAUGCUUUUUCAUCUGGAGCACAAGAAGCUGCAUGCUUCUCCUCCAGCCCUGCAUCAGCCUCUCUUCGUCCAUCACUUAGGCUUGUAAGCAUCAAGGCCAGGCACUAACAAUGUCAGCACGCACAAACACAAAUGCUUUUUUCACUCCACAUCAGAAUAUGGACUAUUUGAUUUCCUUUUCCAGAAGGGCUCCUUGGAUGACUCACAGAAAGGCAGCAAACAGCUUAGCUGGGUUUGCCUAAUGCUAUAUUAAGCCACCAAGUGUGCUUGGACAUAACAGCCCCUGACUGUGCCGGGAACAUGCCCUGUGUGAGCCUUAUCCUGAGCCUGGAGGGUGCCAGGCGGCGGGACUGGAUAGUCAGAUAGGGUGGCCACCUUCAGAGAUUACGCAGGGUUAGGGUUUAAGGUCAGUUUAAGGUGCUGGCUGCUCCGGCCGCGGCUGCAGGAGGGCGAGAUGACAACCCCACACAUGUGGUGUGCGUUAGGGGUGACUGUGUGUGCCUGUGCCCCUCCUCUGGGCCAGAGGAACGAGCUCCUGGCGGUGUCUGAGCUCCUGUCAGCGACUGUUUUGAUGGCUUUCGUGCCAUCCCGCAGCACCACAAAGAGUAAGGGAUAGCUUCCUGGCUCUCACUUCCUCAGUUAACGAAUCCCACCACUAAUUAGCUGACAGUAAC